rnacentral:rRNA from 1 species
UGAGGAAUAUUGGUCAAUGGGCGCAAGCCUGAACCAGCCAUCCCGCGUGCAGGAAGACGGCCCUAUGGGUUGUAAACUGCUUUUCCAGGGAGAGAAACUUGCGUACGCGUUGCGCAAUUGACGGUACCCUGGGAAUAAACAUCGGCUAACUCCGUGCCAGCAGCCGCGGUAAUCCGGAGGAUGCGAGCGUUAUCCGGAUUCAUUGGGUUUAAAGGGUGCGUAGGCGGACUAUUAAGUCAGUGGUGAAAUCCUGCAGCUUAACGGGAGAACUGCCAUUGAGACUGAUAGCCUUGAGUUUGGUUAAGGUAGGCGGAAUGUGUAAUGUAGCGGUGAAAUGCUUAGAUAUUACAAAGAACACCAAUGGCGUAGGCAGCUUACUGAGCCGACACUGACGCUGAGGCACGAAAGCGUGGGGAUCGAACA